CAGGGGCAGACAGCUCCAGGUGCUGGAGGCUGCCGCGCGGAGAGGUCCGCCCAGCCAGGAUGUGCGUUGUCCUGAGAAUCGAAUUACCCGGAACCCCAGAGCUCACCCUCUCUGAAGGAGAGCAGGUGCCUCCUGAGAGCAGGGCUUCUCUACCUUGGGGCACUAUGAACAUUCUGAGUGGGUGCCCACUUUGUUCAUCUCUGCUCACUGGGGGAGCCAGGACACGGAUCCAGGUUUUCUGACUCCAGGUAGGCACCCAAAUCAAGACUCAGAUUUCCUCAUCUCAGAAGUUGUCCACUUCUUCUCCGACCUCCACGGUAACUCGGAACCACACCGUGGAGUUAUCCCUGUGUCCUCUUUCUCGGAAGUUCCACAUCCAACCCCUCAGCAGGUCUCAGCGGCACUCUCACCACCUCCUCUGCUCUGUUCCUGUUUCUCUUGGAUGGUCGAAUGUUUCCUAAGGAGUGUCUGCUGCUUCACGCUUGCCCCCUGGAGUGGCAUCUAAAAGGUGCAGGAUACCCUACAACUAACAGGCAUGAUGCCAUCAAGACAUCUUGAGCCUGGCUACCUCCCGUGGCCUGUAUUUUGUCCACAGGAAACUCGCGCAGUCUCACUACAGCAAAUUGAGGUGGUAUGGGGUGCCUGCUGCUGCCUCUCUCUUCACCUUUCCACAGAGGGCUGCCCCAGCCUGACUCCCACUUCCAGAGUUUCUCCAGCCAGGAGAAUCCUGAAAUCUCUGUAAAUAAGCAAUCCAGGAGCCAGAGAAUCAUGGGAUCUCAUAUAAACAAAUCAUCAAGGAAAAACACAGCCAGAGUCUCCAUUUGGUAAACCUCCGUGACUGGGGAUCCCCGGCCACCCAGAAAGCAGUAUUGCCUGCCAUGCAUGUCAUCACUGAUUUUUACUGCUGCAGCAGACUCCGUCAGACCUGCCUGCUGCUUCAGCGAAUUGUUCAGUGCACACCACCAGCUACCUGCUGUAAGCAUUCACACUCCUCUACCUGCCUGGCAGCAUUUCUCAGCUGAACACAGGCCAGGCCAGAAGUGCCAGGGAUUUAAUGCCCUUAGAAGUAGCUCUCUACCAAUGACAAAUGGAGCUGGUGGAUACAUUCUCAGCUUCCUCCCCUCUCAGGUGGAACAGCCCUGAGAUGUGCUCUAUGCAAUCUCCCACAAGUCCCCAGCAGGCUCAAGCUCCCAUUGUCCAACCCUGGUAACCUGCUCAUUGACACCCCUGUCUUGCCUUCCCUUCCUGGCCUCACUUUCUCACUCUCUUACUGUUGCCUCCUGAGAUCGCAUCCAAAAUAAAUGACCUGCACCCA
rnacentral:lncRNA from 1 species